rnacentral:rRNA from 1 species
GUGGGGAAUAUUGCACAAUGGGGGAAACCCUGAUGCAGCAACGCCGCGUGAAGGAAGAAGUAUUUCGGUAUGUAAACUUCUAUCAGCAGGGAAGAAAAUGACGGUACCUGACUAAGAAGCCCCGGCUAACUACGUGCCAGCAGCCGCGGUAAUACGUAGGGGGCAAGCGUUAUCCGGAUUUACUGGGUGUAAAGGGAGCGUAGGUGGUAUGGCAAGUCAGAUGUGAAAGCCCGGGGCUCAACCCCGGGACUGCAUUUGAAACUGCCAGACUAGAGUGCAGGAGAGGUAAGUGGAAUUCCUAGUGUAGCGGUGAAAUGCGUAGAUAUUAGGAGGAACACCAGUGGCGAAGGCGGCUUACUGGACUGUAACUGACACUGAGGCUCGAAAGCGUGGGGAGCAAACAGGAUUAGAAACCCCGGUAGUCC